rnacentral:sRNA from 1 species
GUAUCUGAAGCUCGACGUAUGACGAGAACCUCCGGGGGCAAGAGGUUCGACCCGAGCGCAAAGCGAGAGAACGUUGCUUCAGCAACGGCCCGCAGGGCGAGCCACGCAGUGGCGAGUCAUCCUUCAUCACCGACCA